CCUUACCUACCCAAAUCCUAUAAAUUGCCCCACCCCUAUCUCCCUUUGCUGACUCUCUUUUCAGACUCAGCCCACCUGCACCCAGGUGAUUAAAAGCUUUAUUGCUCACACAAAGCCUGUUUGGUGGUCUCUUCACACGGACACACAUGAAAUUUGGUGCCGUGACUCGGAUCGGGGGUCCUCCCUUGGGAGAUCAAUCCCCUGUCCUCCUGUUCUUUGCUCCGUGAGAAAGAUCCACCUACGACCUCAGGUCCUCAGACCGACCAGCCCAACGAACAUCUCACCAAUUUUAAAUCAGGACCUACCAGUCUGCCCUGCUCAUACUUGAUCUGGAUGAGACUGAUACCCUGCGAGACGCAACAGAAUCAGCUCCUGGGAUUGUGUUAGCAGAAUGACGGGAGUGUGAGAUCCACCACAUGGCGAGGCACCCCAGGAACCUGUUUUCUUCUUGAAGAGCAACCGAGAACUAUUUCCAAGUUAUCCUUCACUUUGAGGUCUCACUCCUAUCCAUGUAGGCUAGAGUGCAGUAGUGCAAUCUUGGCUCACUGCAGCCUCGACUUCCUGAGCUCAGGUGAUCUUCCCACCUCAGUCUCCUGAGUAGCUGGGACUCCAGGCAAUGGUCAGGUGGAGUAAAACAUAAGGAAGAACAUCUUUUUGGUUCAAAGCAUGAAAAAAAUUGGGUAACACACCUUCCUUACAUCUAGCUGGGCCAUUGAACCAGAAUAUGCCAAUGUUUAAAACACUGAAAUGCCAGCUUUUCUCUUAAAGGACAGCAUGGAGGUGUCUGAUUUCUGCUUGGGCUGAGGAUUCAGGAGAAGAUGUGUGGAACACAGCCUGGACAUGCCCCAACCUGGUUGAUGAAUUCCACCCCAAGUAGUGGAAGAAACACACCUACAACAUGAGCAGAGAAGAUUUUUCUUCUGUACUUUCCAGGACUUGAAGCUGCUUUGUUUUUUGGUCGCUGGGUGGGGAAGGAGGAACAAUAGUAUAGCUUCCAGAAGAGAGAAGAGAGAUAUCUCUUGAGUGUGAAUUAAGCAGUACCAAGAGGCCUCAAGCUAGCUCUCUCUCCUGCUUUAAAUUCUACUGUUAAGAGUUUUUCUUUAAGUUUAAAACCUUGAAAGCUCCAUGAUGCUCCUGAGUAGAACAAUAAAGCCAUUAGUAGUCA
rnacentral:lncRNA from 1 species